UGUCUCUACAUGGGCCAUCUUCACAGUAA
rnacentral:piRNA from 1 species